rnacentral:rRNA from 1 species
UCCAGACUCCUACGGGAGGCAGCAGUGAGGAAUAUUGGUCAAUGGGCGGGAGCCUGAACCAGCCAAGCCGCGUGAAGGAAGAAGGCGCCAGGCGUCGUAAACUUCUUUUGUCGGGGAACAAAGGGCGCCACGCGUGGCGUUGUGAGUGUACCCGAAGAAAAAGCAUCGGCUAACUCCGUGCCAGCAGCCGCGGUAAUACGGAGGAUGCGAGCGUUAUCCGGAUUUAUUGGGUUUAAAGGGUGCGUAGGCGGUGGGGAAGGUAGGGGGAAAAGCCCGGGGGCCAACCCCGGGCGGGCCGUUGAAACUGUCGGACUAGAGACGGCGAGAAGUACGCGGAAUGCGCGGUGUAGCGGUGAAAUGCAUAGAUAUCGCGCAGAACUCCGAUUGCGAAGGCAGCGUACCGGCGCCGGACUGACGCUGAGGCACGAAAGCGUGGGUAACGAGCAGGAUUAGAUACCCCCGUA